GGACGUUGGGCUGUAUGGACUGGCUGGAGACAGUCUUGGACUGCUCGGGGAAUAAGCUAGGGACGGGCUGUAUUUUGCUGAUGAAGGAUUGUAACUAGGUGAUGUAGGGCUGUAGCUAGGAGAUGUUGGACUAUAGCUAGGAGAAGUUGGACUAUAACCUGGAGAAGUUGGGCUAUAGGCAGGAGAACUAGGGCUGUACGAUGGAGAUGUUGGACUGUAAGAAGGUGAUGUUGGGCUGUAUGAUGGCGAUGUUGGGCUGUAAGAUGGUGAAGUAGGACUGUAAGAUGGAGAGGUCGGGCUAUAGGAUGGUGAAGUGGGGCUAUAUGCAGGAGAUGUAGGGCUGUAUGCUGGAGACGUGGGGCUGUAUGCUGGUGAAGUGGGGCUGUAGCUUGGAGAAGUUGGACUGUAACUGGGAGAUGUAGGGCUAUAACUAGGAGAGGUAGGACUGUAGCUUGGUGAUGUUGGACUAUAACUAGGUGAGGUUGGGGAGUAAGAUGG
rnacentral:lncRNA from 1 species